GCCUAACACAUGCAAGUCGAACGGUAGCACAGAGAGCUUGCUCUCGGGUGACGAGUGGCGGACGGGUGAGUAAUGUCUGGGAAACUGCCCGAUGGAGGGGGAUAACUACUGGAAACGGUAGCUAAUACCGCAUAACGUCGCAAGACCAAAGUGGGGGACCUUCGGGCCUCACACCAUCGGAUGUGCCCAGAUGGGAUUAGCUAGUAGGUGGGGUAAUGGCUCACCUAGGCGACGAUCCCUAGCUGGUCUGAGAGGAUGACCAGCCACACUGGAACUGAGACACGGUCCAGACUCCUACGGGAGGCAGCAGUGGGGAAUAUUGCACAAUGGGCGCAAGCCUGAUGCAGCCAUGCCGCGUGUAUGAAGAAGGCCUUCGGGUUGUAAAGUACUUUCAGCGGGGAGGAAGGCGGUGAAGUUAAUAGCUUCACCGAUUGACGUUACCCGCAGAAGAAGCACCGG
rnacentral:rRNA from 1 species